rnacentral:rRNA from 1 species
AACGAACGCUGGCGGCAUGCCUAACACAUGCAAGUCGAACGAGACCUUCGGGUCUAGUGGCGCACGGUGCGUAACGCGGGGGAACCUGCCCUUAGGGUCGGAAUAACCCCCCGAAAGGGGUGCUAAUACCGGAUAAUGUCUUCGGACCAAAGAUUUAUCGCCUUUGGAUGGGCCCGCGUUGGAUUAGCUAGUUGGUAGGGUAAAAGCCUACCAAGGCGACGAUCCAUAGCUGGUCUGAGAGGAUGAUCAGCCACACUGGGACUGAGACACGGCCCAGACUCCUACGGGAGGCAGCAGUGGGGAAUAUUGGACAAUGGGCGAAAGCCUGAUCCAGCAAUGCCGCGUGAGUGAUGAAGGCCUUAGGGUUGUAAAGCUCUUUUACCCGGGAUGAUAAUGACAGUACCGGGAGAAUAAGCUCCGGCUAACUCCGUG